rnacentral:rRNA from 1 species
UACGUAGGGUGCGAGCGUUUGUCCGGAAUUACUGGGCGUAAAGAGCUCGUAGGUGGUUUGUCGCGUUGUCCGUGAAAACUCACAACUCAAUUGUGGGCGUGCGGGCGAUACGGGCAGACUGGAGUACUGCAGGGGAGACUGGAAUUCCUGGUGUAGCGGUGGAAUGCGCAGAGUAUCAGGAGGAACACCGGUGGCGAAGGCGGGUCUCGUGGGCAGUAACUGACGCUGAGGAGCGAAAGCGUGGGGAGCGAACAGG